GCGGGGAUGGCGAAACUGGCAAACGCGGUAGAUUUAGGAUCUACUUUUUGGGGGUUCGAGUCCCUCUCCCCGUA
rnacentral:tRNA from 1 species